rnacentral:rRNA from 1 species
UUUCACAGAGGGAUAGCCCAGAGAAAUUUGGAUUAAUACCUCAUAGUAUAGCAGUUUCGCAUGAAACCACUAUUAAAGUCACAACGGUGAAAGAUGAGCAUGCGUCCCAUUAGCUAGUUGGUAAGGUAACGGCUUACCAAGGCAACGAUGGGUAGGGGUCCUGAGAGGGAGAUCCCCCACACUGGUACUGAGACACGGACCAGACUCCUACGGGAGGCAGCAGUGAGGAAUAUUGGACAAUGGGCGCAAGCCUGAUCCAGCCAUGCCGCGUGCAGGAUGACGGUCCUAAGGAUUGUAAACUGCUUUUGUACAGGAAGAAACACCUCUACGUGUAGAGACUUGACGGUACUGUAAGAAUAAGGAUCGGCUAACUCCGUGCCAGCAGCCGCGGUAAUACGGAGGAUCCAAGCGUUAUCCGGAAUCAUUGGGUUUAAAGGGUCCGUAGGCGGUUUAGUAAGUCAGUGGUGAAAGCCCAUCGCUCAACGGUGGAACGGCCAUUGAUACUGCUAGACUUGAAUUAUUAGGAAGUAACUAGAAUAUGUAGUGUAGCAGUGAAAUGCUUAGAGAUUACAUGGAAUACCAAUUGCGAAGGCAGGUUACUACUAAUUGAUUGACGCUGAUGGACGAAAGCGUGGGUAGCGAACAGGAUUAGAUACCCUGGUAGUCCACGCCGUAAACGAUGGAUACUAGCUGUUGGGCGCAAGUUCAGUGGCUAAGCGAAAGUGAUAAGUAUCCCACCUGUGGAGUACGUUCGCAAGAAUGAAACUCAAAGGAAUUGACGGGGGCCCGCACAAGCGG